rnacentral:rRNA from 1 species
GUCAGCCUGCAACUCGGCUGCAUGAAGCUGGAAUCGCUAGUAAUCGCGGAUCAGAAUGCCGCGGUGAAUACGUUCCCGGGUCUUGUACACACCGCCCGUCACACCAUGGGAGUCGGGAAUGCCCGAAGUCAGUGACCCAACCGAAAGGGGGGAGCUGCCGAAGGCAGGCCUGGUAACUGGGGUGAAGUCGUAACAAGGUACC